AUUCAAGUGUUAUCACCCAUAUCAUUGCUUAAUGAUUAUAUAGAGGUUAAAUGAUGAUACGUUCUAGGUAGUUGAUACAUCAUUUAAGAAGUUUACAAUUAUGGUUUAAAUCAUCGAAACAUUAUUGUCCCUUUUUAUAAGACUGUUUUACGAUUGUCAAUGACACUAAUUAAUUAAUUUUUUCCAAACUUACCCUUAUUUACAUUACAUAGUAUUUUGAAUAGCAUUAAAUUCAUUUUUGUUUGACACAUACAAUUAAUUGUAAAGAUAAACAUGGAAAAUCAAUAUAAUUUGACAAUCAAUUUAAUACUAAAAUCAAUUUUCUUAAUAUCCGUUUUUUGUCGAACUAUGUUUUAUAAAAAGAGACUAAGGGAGAAUAUACUUUAGGGUGUUAUAAAGGCAAAUAACCUAGGGUGGUGUUACAAUUACAUGUGAUAUAAACCAUGUAUUUUUAAUCCAAAUUUUUAUAAAUUAGUUUAACACAACAUGUGAAAUAGUGCAAGUUGAGCAUUCAAUUUUUAUACAUCAUGAUAUAUUAUACAUGUAUAUUGUUGUAUUGAUAAAUAUAAUAAUUGUGUGCAUGUGUGUUCAUCUGCAUAUGUUUUAUACCUUUAACAUGAUGUAUAAUUAAACACCUCUUAUUUGUGUAUUUUAAAGUACUCUGGUACAAAUGCAGAUUAUUUUCCUCGUGGCCAUUAAAAUUAAUCGAUGGAGCUUUGCAUGUGAAUGAAGUAUUGACAUGUGGUUAUAUGUAUUUUAAUAGUCUUGUUUUUUAAACAAAGUUCAAUAA
rnacentral:lncRNA from 1 species